UCCGCCCCCUUCCCCGGCGCGCGAAGUUGUUGCGGCCCAGGAUAACAUGGCUGCCGCAGUUCGGCAGCCGGGUCACGUUUUGCUGUUUACGCUGCAGAGUUCCGUGUCUCCCGGGGUGGGAGGCUCAGGCUCCACAUGCUGCCGCUGCCCUCUCGGAGCUAAAAGAUAUCUACUUACAGAUAAUGUUGUGAAAUUAAAAGAAUUUCAGCGUAAGAAGGUGGUUAUUGCAAAUCAUCUUCCUGGUACUAAAGCAACCUACCUGAGAAACAUGAAAGAGAAAUUGGCCCAGAAUAAGCUCAUCUUGAAGGACGAGUUGAAAACCUUCCUUCAUUUGUGUGAUACCCGGGAUGAUGUGGAACUGGCUAAAAAUGUCAUUUACAGGUACCAUACAGAGAACAGAAAUGUCGCUUUGGGAGAGUAUAAAUUUGGACCACUUUUCAUGAGGUUGUGCUACGAGUUGGAUCUUGAGGAAUCUGCAUUGGAACUCAUCAAAGACCAGCAUUUACGGGGUUUCUUCUCAGACACCACGUCAUUCAAUAUUUUGAUGGAUAUGUUAUUUAUUAAAGGCAAAUAUACAAGUGCGCUGGAAGUGCUGAUAGAGAUGAAAAACCAAGAUGUGAAAUUCAACAAAGAAACCUAUGUCCUUGCUUUUGCAAUUUGCUACAAACUGAAUAGCUCUGAAUCUUUGAAAAUCUGUACUACAUUAAGAGAAGAAGCCCUAAUCAAAGGAGAAGUCCUCUCCAGGAGAGCAUCCUGUUUUGCUGUGGCACUAGCUCUGAAUCAGAACCAGGUGGCGAAAGCUAUAUCAAUUUUUUCUCAAAUCAUGAAGCCAGAAAGCAUUAUCUGCACUAAUUUAAAUAUUUUGAUUCAUAUCCAGUCAAAUAUGUUGAAAACCCUGAUAAAGAUAUUAAAGGAUGCUGCAGACGGAAAUUUAUCAAAAUUUGUGAAAAGACAGGAGUUCUCAGAAGAAGUGGCCAUCAGAUUGGCAACAAAUAAAUUGCAUCCAGGCUGCUAAGGGGGACUAAAAAAUGAUUUCAGACAACAUGCAUCUAUUGAAUGUUUGAAAAAGAACCCGAGGAGAGAGUGUCUCUUAGGAUCUGUGUCUGAGAAGCUUCAUUGUCGUCUUUGGUCCCAACUACUUCACCAGCAACUGUAACCCAGAACAAAACUGAGAGAAACCAGAUUGCUUAAUUUACAUACAUUACUUGGUAAAUAUGCUCUCUUGUCAAAUGAGUAAAAAGCAUGGGUUUUAUGAUAGCCCUGAGACUCUGAUUCAUCCCUUCUAUCAUUAUGUGAGGAGAUGGGCUUUAUAGUAAGUGGCAUUUUGUGCUUAGAAAAAUACAUAUUUUUGUUACUAUUAUAAUUAGCCUUCAACAGAACAAGUCACUUGGACCCCCAAAACAGAUUUUGAACCGCCCACUUUAACUCUUCCUUGCUACCUCCUUAAUCAAGGCCAAUGUUAUCUCUCACAGACUAUUAAAACUGCCUCCUACAGGUCUCCCAAUAUUAUUCUGGCUUCCUUCCAACCCAUCCUCCACACUUUAGUCAAAAUGAAUUUUGGAACAUGUUAAUCUCAUUAUCUUGCCCUCAUUGCCCAGUGGCUUUCCAUGUCAACCUCACCCUACAUCACUCUCCCUCUCUUGCUGUGUGCUGCCCACACCAUCUUCUCUCUUUGGCCGUGUUCUCUAUACCACAGUCCUUUGUGCAUGCUCUCUUCUCUGUCUGGAAUGCUCUUCUCCCAGUUUUCCCCAUGGUUGGCUCCUGAUGUCCUUAAGUUCUCAAAUCAAAUAUAAGUUUUUCAGACAGACAAUUCCUAACCACUGUAAUUAAAGUAGGUAUUCCCAAUUAUUCUCUGUCUAGGGUGGAUAGACAUAUGGGAGUGAACACAAGUAUGAAAAUCUUUGUAUCACAUAUUAACAUCCAUUGGGUCACAUGCACCAUGAAAGAGACAUUUAAAAAUCAGGCAGACAAUGACUUUGCCAGUUGACUUCAGCCCUCUGUCAACAGCCACUCCAGUGCUAAAACAAAAAACAUAUGAAUGAAGUGGCCACAGUAACAGAUAUGGAGGCUAUACAUGGGCCCAACAGCAUGAAGUACAUUUGCCAAGGCUGAUCUAACUCCUAUCACUGCUGAAUAUCCAACAUGCCAGCAACAGAGCCUGGUGCUGAGCUUCCAAUAUGGCAUCAUUGCUCAUGAAGAUCAAUCAAUCACUUAGUGAGAAGUUGACUAUAUUGAAUCCUUUUCAUCUUGAAGAGCGAGUGGUCUUUUGGUCGUAGGAAUGGACACAUACUUCCAAGGGUAGAAAAAGGAGUUGGUCCCACCUGUCUGCACUGACAGUGACCACUGUUCUACUUUUCAUCCCUGUAACUCUGCAUUCUGCAGGGUUAGAAUUCUCAUCCUCACAAAGGGAUACACUUUCACUCGGGGACAUAGCAAGAUUAUCCAUUGAAUUAUAAGCUACAGCUGCCAUGUGGGCAUUUUUUGCUCCUUGUCUUCAGGGACCAGCAGACAAGGAAAAGAGUCACCAUUCUGGCACAGGUAAUCAACCCAAUCAUCAGGAGGGAGAAGGCUGUUGUCACAAAACGGGUCAUGGAGGAAUAAGUGUGGAACCCUAGUAACCCAUCGCGGUUUCUUUUGGUACUUCUCUUCCCACUUGUGACUAAAAGAACAAGUACAGCAACCCCUUGCUGAAAAGGGCAUGUGUCUUAGUCCACUUGGGCUGCGAUAACAAAAUACAUAGACUGAGUGGCUCAAGCAGUAACAUUGAUUUCUCACAGUUCUGGAGGUUGGGAGUUUCAAGAUCAAAGUGCCGCCAGGUUCUUUGUCUAAUGAGGGCCUGCUUCCUGUUUUGCAAAUGGCUGCCUUCUUGCUGUGUCCUUAAAUGGUGCAGAAAGUCCUCACAUGGCUCUGGUCUCCUCUCCUUGUAAGUGCACUAAGCCCAUCAUGGAGGGGCUUCCAUCUUCAUGACUUCAUCUAAACCUAAUUACCUCCCAAAGGCCCUACCUCCAGAUACCAUCACUCUAGGGUUAAGGGCUUCAACAUGUAAAUCUGGGGUGGGAGGACACAACAACAGAGCAACAUGGUGGUUGAGGCUCAGAUGCUUUGGGGAUGAGGAUAUGGGUCACACUACCUGAAAAGCCACUGAGACUGGCAGAGGUGAUAUCUGAUGGUGACAGGGAUGCAGACAGGUAAUGGAGGAAGGAGAAAAUAAGCACGAGCUAUUUCUCCUAGACUAAUUACAGGAGUGGGGGCUAAAGCUGAUCCCACUCAUCUUCCUCUUCUAAGUUUUCCUUGAGAAAGAGAGACCCACUGGUAUCCUGGAGGAGAUGCCCCAUGAAUAUAUACACAGAAGUGGGUAGGAGUGAGGCAAAGGGUGGGCUGUGGUAGACACAGAGAUGAGCUAAGCAGUGUCUCUUCAAGGAAGGACUUGUACCGAGCUGUGGGGAGUGCAGUCAGCAGACAGCCUCCAGCCACUGGCUCCUUCAGGGUCUGUCCCUGCUACAGAGAUCCUGAGAUCAUGCCCUUCCCAGGGCAGCCCAUACCUGGUAACUGAGCGAGGUGGGUGUCAAAAGGCCUGGACAUCACUGCCCAACCUGGUGCAACUUUUGGUGGGCAAUCCUUGCCCAGAACUGCCUGCUGUGUUGGGUGAGGCUUGGUCACAGUUUGCCUUCUCUCUUUAUUCAGUCUUCUUUCCUGCCCUUUCUUUUCACUGCUGCUAAUCCCUAUUAAACAUCUUGCGCCCAGAUUUGUCUCAUCAUCUACUUGCAAAGAAACCAACCUGGUAUAGGCUACAUGCUUUGGCAGCAGAUGAAAUUUGCUAACUAGGUCAUUUGGAGGAAGUUAUUUCACUCUGUUGCACCUCCAUCUCUUCUUCAGUAAAAUGGAAAUAACAACAUUUGCCUCUCAGGGUCAUGUGAAGUUAAAUAAAAUCAAGUGUGUAAUUACUUGGCACGGUGCUUGGUGUUUUAGAGUGUAUAACGUUUAAGAGAGAAGCUCUCUCAGAAACGGCAACUUCCCAUGCCGACACAGCUUUAUGAGUUCUCUGUUGAGAAGGAGCUGAGUGUUCAGUUUUCUGGCCACUGUGUUGAUAACAACGGCGAAUUCUUACAUACCAGACACAGUGAGCCAAACACUUUUCAAGUGUCUUGCAUAUACUAACUCAUUUAACCCACAAACAACUUGAUCAGGAAGGUUCCUAAUCCCAUUUUACAGAUGAGGAAACUGAGGCACAGAGGUUCUCAAACUGGUUCACAGGUCUCAAAAAUUGCAAGUAGCAGAGCUGGGCUUCAAAUCCAGGAACCUGACACCAGAAUCUGUGUCAGGUGCUCAUGCCCAGUAUAGUACAUGGCCUCUUGGGUCAACUUUAUCCUAGAAAGAGCUUGAUGCAGAAUAAGGCAAUCUUGCCGCUAACCUCCUACUUCCUCAUGACACCCUUCCAGAACUAGUUUUUCUGAAUGGGAAAUAAAAAGAAGAUGAGGAAGAUGUCACCUGACUGCAGAUAGUCUGAGGUUCACUAAUCCUCUGUGAAGCCUUGAGACAGGGAGAAUCCAAAAAUCUGUGUCUUCCUGGGAUUGAGGCCCCAACCAAACGGAACCUCCCUGGCAGAAGGUAUGAGAAUAGGAAUGAGAGACACUGACAAUGGCAGUUUCCUUGUGAAAUUUCGGGCAUUUGCAAAUAAUCAACUCAGCCUUUUCAACAAGUCUUUAUUUUGCUUAAAUUAACAAAACAUAGGUUACAUGCUAUUUUCAGGUAAACUGCUUUAUCACUGAAGCAGAAAGCGAUAUUCACAACUUGGGUUGCUACACAUUUGGAGUUUUAGUUUUUAAAUAGCAAGCCAGAAUUCUGUACAAAAUCAACAUUUGGUGUAAUGUUGUCCAAAUAUGUGAAGGAUUUUAAAUGUUAGCUCUGUUACAUUUUGUUCCAGCAAAGCAGACAAAGAUCAUGAUUCAAAACGCGAUGUUAAUAUUUUAUUAAAUGCCUUUAGGGCUUAAUAAAUACAGUAUGCACAUUGGGCUUUCUCAUGCAGCUACUCAUAUACAAAUAUACCAGAUACCCUUGUGGGGUUAUGGAAGGUCAGCCUCAGUCUCAUGGCCAAUAGGGAGUCAAAUUUUUAAAAAGAAAGAAUGAAAGAGGAAUUAGAAGGCAAACAGAGGGGGGUAAUUAUAGGCCUAAAUAAAAAGGAUAAAAGAAAAAUAUGCCUCUUGGCUGGUCAGUUGGCUGUUUCAGAGUGACAAUGGUCAAAAGCCUGGAAAGCAUUUGGUAGUGACCUAUUUUCAGAGUGUCACAAGGAGAUGAAUGCCAUGCUGUCCUGGCCCUUAGAGUGCUGGUAACCUUGGAUGGUUUUAUCCUUAAUUCUCUCUAGAUGAUCCCCAUGGGCUCUCCUUCAGGUGUGCAUUCUGGCUAAUUAGCUCAUCAGGCAAGUUUGGCCAACUCUUCCCUUAGCUCUGCACUUAGGCACAGGGUGUCCAUAUAAUUGGUCACCCAAACUGGGAUACUUUUUUUUAAAUUUUAUUUGUAUUUAUUUUGAGAGAGAGCUAGAGAGCAAGUGGGGGAAAGUCAGAGAGAGAGGGAGACAGAAACCCAAGGAGACUGGGCACUGUCAGCACAGAGCCUGAUGCGGGCUCCAACUCCCAAACCAUGAGAUCACGACCUGAGCCAAAAUCAAGAGCUCAAUGCUUAACUGACUGAGCCACUCAGACACCCUUAGGAUCCUAUUUAUUUUUUAAGUGUACUUGUUUAUUGAGAGAGAGAGAGAGAGAGAGUGAGAGAGAAUCCUAAGCAGGCUCUGCACAGUCAAUGCGGAGCCUGACUCAGGGCUCAGUCUCAUGAACCUCAAAAUCAUGACCUGAACCAAAACCACGACUCAGACAUUCAACCAACUGAGCCACCCAGGCACCCAAACUGGGAUACUUUUGAGAGUUAAAGUGACACUCUUAGUAAUUACUCUGGGACAAAGCUAUAAACCAGGGUUGUUCCAGGUAAACCAGGAUGUUGGUCACUCAACAACAUACAAUACCAAGAUUUUGGCCACAUUUCUCACAGAGUCAGUGUAUAUUUACCCUCAGGCUAGAUCUAAUUAAGUCUCUCAUACCCAGAGUUAAGAACUAAAAACAGGCUUUAUAAUAUACUUCAUAACACUUUUUAAAUUACUUUCCUUAGAUAUUUUUUUCUCCCUCAAAAUGAAAUUUUACUUGGAAGGCUAACAUGAAAAACAAAUGAAAUUUGAACCACUUUGAGUGAAGUGGGAAUGAGGGCUGAGAGUCUCUCCUUCUUCCCUGGCAGCUCUGGAGGGACCCAAGAGGGACCUCUGACUCCUCGAUCCACAAUUUGGAAACCUCCAUUCUAGACCAUGCUCUCUCCAUCUCAACAUGAACUUGUUCCUCAAACAUACCCACAUGAUUCAUUUGGUUGGAAAAGACUAGAGUUUGCUAUUCUGGAUUUCCUGGUUCCUGUUCCAGCCUGUUCCUGUUCCAUACCCAGAAUGAACCGGAAGUCUGCAGCCCAUACAGUAUGUCUUUGACACAGAGCUACUGAAAGAAUGAACACGUAACAGGACCCCAAGAGCCGGAGGUCUCACAGACCAUGCUGCCAGCCUUGUGAGUGAUGUCAUCAGAGGCACUAAUGAGCGAUAUUCAAAAUGAACGGAAGGCAAGUUGCCCCUCUGAAGACUUGGAACAGUUUCCUGGCACAGAGCUGUGCUUGCACCACAGAAACCCACACUAUUCCACUCACCAUCCCCUUUGCAGGUGCUUGACCUCAGGGCAUGGGUGGCAGUAGGAAACCCAGGCAGCUUUGGCACUUUGUCAUGGUGGUGAGGCUGAAAGAAAGAGCUUUAAGCAAGGUAGCAGGAGAAACGUGUCAAGAUUGACAAAGCCCACGGGUGGAUGAUUCGAAGUAGAUGCGGCUGAGGGGGAAGCACCUUGGCCAAAAGAAAAAGCCACAUCCAGCAGUCAGAGAUGGGCCAGGUGGUCUAAAGAAAUGUACUGGGAACUUUAGGAGAAGAGAAAGCAAAGUAAUAAACAGUACCUACCUCUACGAAUAAGAGUUGAGACUACCAACCAAGAGGCAGUUUUUACAUAAACACAGACACAGUACCAGAGGGUUACUGCUUACGGCUAGUCACAGGUAUGCGACAUCCUGUAGGCACUGCUUUAUUCGGCACCCAUGCCUAAGGAAAGCCUACUGCUGGGCUCAAGCCACCCACGGUAGUCUUCACCCCUGACUAGAAUCACGAUUCAAGCAUCUAGGAAGAAAUAAUUAGUCACUGUUGGUGGGCUGUGUAUUUUUAGACUUAUUAAGUGACCAUAAACAUCACAGGCAUCAUCUUCUAGUACAAAAUUGUGUGAUUAUACAAGAGUACGUGUGUGUGUGUUGUGUGUGUGCAUGUGCGUGUUCAUGUCAAGAGGCUCUUACAGAACAGGUGAGAAGCCCUAAAUCAGCAGGAUGAUUUCAAGGUCUCCUACUCCAUAUUUUAAUGAAUCUGAAGGCAGAAACAAAUAUUUAUGGAGUCCCUGGGAGGAGUCUUGGGAGCCACCAUUUUAACCUCGUCCAUCUUUCUCAACCCUGGCUGCACAGAAGAAUCCUCUGGGGGAAACUUUUAAACAAAUACCCAUAUUGGGGCUCCACUAGACCAAUGAAAUCAGACUCUCAGCAGCUGAGGCUCAGCCUUGGUAUUAUUUUUUAAGGUUCCCCUAGAUGAUUCUGAUAUGCAGGCAGCUUUGAGAACACAGCCCAGAAUCUGCUUACCAGUAACUACCUGAUGGUUAGCAUAAUACUCUAAAUAAGCAGUGAUCAGAUUUCAAGAAUUCCUCCCCACAUCCCUGGUCUGGCACUGAGAAGAGAAACCCACUGCGCCUAAGGCUUCCUGCAGCUGCCUUGUGGGGCAUGAGGCCUCAGAGCAAGGUCUCCAGGAGGGGGCUCUGCUCAGGACACAAGGGGUGAGCUGGGACACACUGACCACUUUGGGGACCAUCUGAAAAUGCGCGCCACAAGCCAUACCUGAUGACGGAAGCUGCUGCAGAACAAGGCAGACCCAGGCAAGGAUCUAAGUUCUGCUGGGUUUUCAUUAGUUAAAAUUAUUCCUGUUUUCUUAAACAUGCAGAAACUACUUGAGAAUAUUCUCUUCAAUACCUCACCCUCCUUUGUCAUUUUUGGCAUUGUGGAUGAUUCAAUAAAGGUGAUUUUUAUAUAUACAA